CAUCUUGCGGCCCUUGGAGCACUCCAGGGUUCGGAGCCCCCUGACCCUGGCCCUUGCCUUGGAGGCCCUCCUCCAGCUAAGUACCAUGCGGCCCAAAUUCAGCUGCGAUAUGAUCAGUGCGAUCCUCCAUAGGACCUUGGAGGCAGUUCUUGAGGGCCCAGAAAAGGAGGAGGACCGAGAGAAACUGAAGCAGCACUACCGGCUCCUUCUGG